GACGAACCGUGCGAACGUUAUUCGGAAUCACUGGGCUUAAAGGGUGCGUAGGCGGGUCUUUAAGUCAGGGGUGAAAUCCUGGAGCUCAACUCCAGAACUGCCUUUGAUACUGAAGAUCUUGAGUUCGGGAGAGGUGAGUGGAACUGCGAGUGUAGAGGUGAAAUUCGUAGAUAUUCGCAAGAACACCAGUGGCGAAGGCGGCUCACUGGCCCGAUACUGACGCUGAGGCACGAAAGCGUGGGGAGCAAACAGG
rnacentral:rRNA from 1 species